rnacentral:tRNA from 1 species
GGGAGUAGCUCAGUUGGUAGAGCGUCAGCCUUCCAAGCUGAGGGUCGCGAGUUCGAGUCUCGUCUCCC